rfam:Mesocricetus auratus contig087494, whole genome shotgun sequence.
GGAGAGGUGGCUCAGUGGUUAAGAGCACUGACUGCUCUUCCAGAGGUCCUGAGUUCAAUUCCCAGCAACUACA